rnacentral:rRNA from 1 species
GACGAACGCUGGCGGCGUGCUUAACACAUGCAAGUCGAGCGGUAAGGCCCUUUCGGGGGUACGACGAGCGGCGAACGGGUGAGUAACACGUGGGUGACCUGCCCUCAGCUCUGGGAUAAGCCUGGGAAACCGGGGUCUAAUACCGGAUAUGACUCCAUGACGCAUGUUGUGGGGUGGAAAGCCUUGUGCGGCUGAGGAUGGGCCCGCGGCCUAUCAGCUUGUUGGUGGGGUGAUGGCCUACCAAGGCGACGACGGGUAGCCGGCCUGAGAGGGCGACCGGCCACACUGGGGACUGAGACACGGCCCAGACUCCUACGGGAGGCAGCAGUGGGGAAUCUUGCGCAAUGGGCGAAAGCCUGACGCAGCGACGCCGCGUGAGGGAUGACGGCCUGGU